rnacentral:rRNA from 1 species
ACAGGGAUUGCCCUAGUAACGGCGAGUGAAGCGGCAACAGCUCAAAUUUGAAAUCUGGCCUCGGCCCGAGUUGUAAUUUGCAGAGGAUGUUUCUGGCGCGGUGCCUUCCGAGUUCCCUGGAACGGGACGCCAAAGAGGGUGAGAGCCCCGUAUGGUCGGACACCAAGCCUGUGUGAAACUCCUUCGACGAGUCGAGUAGUUUGGGAAUGCUGCUCUAAAUGGGAGGUAAAUCUCUUCUAAAGCUAAAUACCGGCCAGAGACCGAUAGCGCACAAGUAGAGUGAUCGAAAGAUGAAAAGCACCUUGAAAAGGGGGUUAAAUAGUACGUGAAAUUGUUGAAAGGGAAGCACUUAUGACCAGACUUGGGCCGGGCGGCUCAUCAGGGGUUCUCCCCUGUGCACUCCGCCCGGCACAGGCCAGCAUCGGUUCUCGUGGGGGGAUAAGACCGUCAGGAACGUAGCACCCUCCGGGGUGUGUUAUAGCCUGGCGGACGAUACCCUCGUGGGGACCGAGGUUCGCGCUCCGCAAGGAUGCUGGCGUAAUGGUCAUCAGUGACCCGUCUUGAAACACGGACCAAGGAGUCGUCCAUUAGAGCGAGCGUUUGGGUGUAAAACCCGCACGCGUAAUGAAAGUGAACGCAGGUGAGAGCUUCGGCGCAUCAUCGACCGAUCCUGAUGUUCUCGGAAGGAUUUGAGUAAGAGUUUUAACGGACGGACCCGAAAGACAGUGAACUAUGCUUGUAUAGGGUGAAGCCAGAGGAAACUCUGGUGGAGGCUCGCAGCGGUUCUGACGUGCAAAUCGAUCGUCAAAUAUGAGCAUGGGGGCGAAAGACUAAUCGAACUGUCUAGUAGCUGGUUACCGCCG